rnacentral:rRNA from 1 species
CCUACGGGUGGCUGCAGUGGGGAAUAUUGCACAAUGGGGGGAACCCUGAAGCAGCGAAGCCGCGUGAGUGAGGAAGUAUUUCGGUAUGUAAAGCUCUAUCAGCAGGGAAGAAAAUGACGGUACCUGACUAAGAAGCCCCGGCUAACUACGUGACAGCAGCCGCGGUAAUACGUAGGGGGCAAGCGUUAUCCGGAUUUACUGGGUGUAAAGGGAGAGUAGACGGCUAAUCAAGUCAGAAGUGAAAACCCAGGGCUCAACCUUGGGACUGCUUUUGAAACUGAGUAGCUAGAGUGCACGAGAGGUAAGCGGAAUGCGUGGUGUAGCGGUGAAAUGCGUAGAUAUUAGGCGGAACCCCAGUGGCGAAGGCGGCUUACUGGACUGUAACUGACGUUGAGGCUCGAAAGCGUGGGGAGCAAACAGGAUUAGAUACCCGUGUAGUC